GGAUAUCUUCAUGGGGGCACCCUGAUCAGCGCGCCGCGUGACCGAGGAAGGCCCUCGGGUCGUAAAGGUCUUUCAGCGGGGACUAUGGUGGAAGGUACCCGCAGAAGCAGGAGCGGCUAACUACGUGCCAGCAGCCGCGGUAAUACCUAGGCUCCAAGCGUUGUUCGGAAUCACUGGGCGUAAAGCGAGCGCAGGCGGCCCGCCCUGUCGGUCGUGAAAUCUCCCGGCUCAACCGGGAGGGUGCGGUCGAAACUGGCGUGCUAGAGUGCGGCAGGGGAAGGCAGAAUUCCUGGUGUAGCGGUGGAAUGCGUAGAGAUCAGGAGGAAUGCCGGAGGUGAAGACGGCCUUCCGGGCCGCCACUGACGCUGAGGCUCGAAAGCGUGGGGAGCGAACAGGAUUAGAUACCCUGGUAGUCCACGCCCUAAACGAUGCAUACUUGGUGUGGGCCCUUCAGUGGGUCCCUGCCGGAGC
rnacentral:rRNA from 1 species